rnacentral:tRNA from 1 species
GCGGCAAUAGCUCAGUGGUAGAGACCCCGCUUCGCGUGCGGGGAGACCGGGGUUCGAUUCCCGGCUGCUUCC